UUGUCUGGGAUAUCGUAUUUUAUCGCAAUUAAUUAUAAAUAAUUUAUAAUUAUACCUAUCCUAAAAAGUCCUGUUUCUCGGGUACAGCUUUUUUUGAUUUACAUUUUUAAAGUUCGUAGGCGACGCGUGACACCAGUGAAGUAUGGCUUCAUUAAUCAUUAUUAAGGUUUUUAGUUUUAAUUCAUGUUCAUAAUAGUGAUAAUACCUAUGUUUUAUGUUUUCAAACUUAUAAACUUGUGUAGAACUUUUAAAAAGAUAUAUACUUUACGUACAAAGUAUACGUAGUGUAAAGUAUUAAUGUUAUUAGAUAUACAGUUUUAUAUUUCUACAGAAUAUAUUAAUAUAGUGUUCAGACGACCAAACGUUAUAUGAUUCCACAAUAAAUGGAUGCCCAUUUAAUAAUAUGUUUUCAGCAAAAUUCACGAUCUGGACGAAUUUCACUAUCUAGAUAUCCAAUUCACGAAAUGAGUGAUUUCAGCUUGUGGAUGCGACAUAAUAAUAUAAUAUAAAUUCUUCAGAUCCAUAAUUAUUGUUGCAAUACUAAUUGGUACAAAAAAACACCAGGGCGAAGUAUCCAAUUCGCUGCAGUUGGAUUUCAAAAUCAAUUUUCAUUGGAGAUGACUAUUGCCUAAACUUUUUGUCUUACAAAAAAACACUAGACAAGUGCCAUUGGACUGUAUCCAGACCAUACAGGUCCUAGCAGUAUUAGCAGACGACGCGUGCAAACCAGGAAGAGGAAAAUGAGUUUUCAUUGCAUUGUUUUCUUCUAACAUUGAUUUGUACAGAUCCAUUGUGGCAG